rnacentral:rRNA from 1 species
UAGGGAAUUUUCCACAAUGGGCGAAAGCCUGAUGGAGCAACGCCGCGUGCAGGAUGAAUGUCUUCGGAUUGUAAACUGCUUUUAUAUGUGACGAUUAUGACGGUAGCAUAUGAAUAAGGAUCGGCUAACUCCGUGCCAGCAGCCGCGGUCAUACGGAGGAUCCAAGCGUUAUCCGGAAUUACUGGGCGUAAAGAGUUGCGUAGGUGGCAUUGUAAGUUGGUAGUGAAAGCGUUCGGCUCAACCGGAUAUCCAUUACUAAAACUGCAAAGCUAGAGGACAAGAGAGGUCACUGGAAUUCCCUGUGUAGGAGUGAAAUCCGUAGAUAUAGGGAGGAACACCGAUGGCGUAGGCAGGUGACUGGCUUGUUCCUGACACUAAGGCACGAAAGCGUGGGUAGCAAAC